AAAACCUCGGAGAAUUUUCACUGCGGUCCUGCGCGAAUCCAGUAGUUUUCAUUAUAACCUCGUACGAAGUGUUGCAUUUGUUCUCUUGACUCUUGGGAUAUUUCAUUUUUUUUUCAUUAUCGCCUCGUGUUCAAGUAUUCAAUUGUUUUUUUUUGUUUCGGCAAAUACGAACAAAUUUUACACACGCAGAAGCUCUCAGAAGUUGUCAUUCUUUCAUUCGAUGAAAUCGUUUCAUAAAAAAAAAUAAUUCUUGCAUCGUGUGUACGCGAUGUGGUUCGUGUAUCCGCGUAUUUUAGCAUUUACGUAUCUAUCCACAGAAACGACAAUAGUCUCCAUUGAAUACGAAGGAGUUUGUAUUUAUAGGCGCAAAAAAUAAGUGAAAAUAAAAGAAAAAGAAGACUGAUCGUUCGCUCGGACUCAAUCGAAAUAUAAUAAAUAACUGUUGCAUCAACGCACAAAUUCAAGAGCUGUCAUUCGGCAAUUCUUGACUUUCCGGACUUGUUGAAAUUUCCAUAUUGCAGAAAAUAAUUUUAAAAACAUGGUUGUACUCAGUAAUUUUGUGGCACCACAGGAAGGUAUCAGGCAUGAAGAACCUAACACCACUGUUUUCAUUGAUGACAGAGAAAUUGGUAAAGGGACUCUAUACAUAACCGAGAGUAUAAUAUCAUGGGUGAACAACAGCACGCAACAAGGCUUUUCCCUGGACUAUCUUCACGUAUCGCUUCACGCAAUCUCACGAGACCAAGUAGUUCAUCCAAGGCCGUGUCUCUACGUCCUGGUUGAUGCUAACGUCGAUUUACCUGAUGGUCAAACCACACAGAAUGAUUACAUCAGCGUUGGAGAAGACGAAGAACCGGAAGAACCCCCAAUGACAGAAUUCAUGUUUACACCUGACGACACAAACAGCUUGGAUGCAAUGUUUCAGGCCAUGAACCAAUGUCAAGCCUUGCAUCCGGAUCCCCAAGACAGCUUUUCAGAUGCUGAAGAGGAUAUUUAUGAAGACGCAGAGGACGAUGAUUUUGAGUAUUACGAAGUUGGUGCAGGCGAUGCACCGUACAUUAUACCUGCAGUUUUAGAUUCGUUGCAUUGUAAAAGUGACCUUCAAUAACAGCGAGCGAAUAAAUGGAAGAGCCUCUUAUUGUCACGCCUGGUCCGAAUGACCCCACGAUUUUGCAGUAACAAGUUGCCAGUCAUAAUGGAACUGAUGUGGAGGAGAGCAUGGACGUUGAAGCCGGACAAUUCGAAGACGCGGAAGAAGAUCCGUAAACGAAGGAAAGCCCGAUGGAGAGAGCUUUUGGAAGGGCUACCAGCACUUACGAUUUUCAUUUCAAUUAAUUCCAACAUUAAUUCGCUUUCGUAAGUCAUAACUCGAGAGAAAGUAUCACCGCGUGCAAGAUAUCUCGCGACCCUUUUUUUCUUUCUCCCCCGCAUUUCCUCUCCAGAACAUCAUUCAAGCACUUCAUUUAUAUUCAUUUUGUACUGAAUAAUUAUUUCUUAGGAUCAAAUAAAUAGUACACUAAAAACCA